rnacentral:rRNA from 1 species
UGAGGAAUAUUGGUCAAUGGGCGCGAGCCUGAACCAGCCAAGUCGCGUGAGGGAGUACUGCCCUAUGGGUUGUAAACCUCUUUUGUCGGGGAGCAAAAACGGAACGAGUUCCGAUUUGAGAGUACCCGAAGAAAAAGCAUCGGCUAACUCCGUGCCAGCAGCCGCGGUAAUACGGAGGAUGCGAGCGUUAUCCGGAUUUAUUGGGUUUAAAGGGUGCGUAGGCGGAUUAUUAAGUCAGCGGUAAAAUCGUGGGGCUCAACCCCAUCCAGCCGUUGAAACUGGUGAUCUGGAGUGAGCGAGAGGUAUGCGGAAUGCGUGGUGUAGCGGUGAAAUGCAUAGAUAUCACGCAGAACCCCGAUUGCGAAGGCAGCAUACCGGUGCUCAACUGACGCUGAGGCACGAAAGCGUGGGGAUCGAACAGG